rnacentral:rRNA from 1 species
ACAUAUUUAAUAUUUAAUUAUAUAAUUAAAUUAAUAAAUUGUUUAUGGAAAUAACUUAUUUUUUAGUAUUUUUUAAAGAAUUAAUAUAAAUAUUGAUAGUGAAUUAAACUGUAAAGGUUAAUUAUUAAUAUGUUAAAAGUAAAAUUUAAUUUUUGUACCUUUUGUAUCAGGGUUUAAUCAAUUUACAUUUAAUUAUAAUUAAAUUUCCCGAAUUUAAAGGAGAUAUUAAUUAUUGUUAUUUAAUGUUUCAAAAUUAUUAAUAAAUAAUUGAUAGUUGUUAUAUGCUAUUCAUCUUUAAAUAUCUGGUUUCUUAAUAAAUGAAUUUAAUUCAGAAUUGAUAUUCAAUCUAUUAAAUAAUUACAUUUUUAAUAAUUAUUUCAAUUUAAAAUUAAAGGGGAUAAGCUCUUUAAUUCUUCUAUAAAUCUAUUAAAUAAUUAAGAUUUGUAGGAUUAGAAAUUUUCAUCAUUUAUUUUGUUAUAAUUAAACUUUAUUAUAAUUUUAUUUAUAAAUAUUUUAGAUAAUUAUUAAGAAUUACUAAAUAAUAAAAAUUUAGUUGUUAUAAUGAUAAAAUUAGUAGAUUAUAAAAUUAAUGUAUAUUAACUCGGCAAAUAUAAUUUUCACCUGUUUAACAAAAACAUGUCUUAAUGAUUUAUAUUUAUUAAGUCUAUCCUGCUCAAUGAUUAAUAUAAUUAAAUAGCCGCAGUAUUUUGACUGUGCGAAGGUAGCAUAAUCAUUUGUCUUUUAAUUGAAGGCUUGUAUGAAUGGUUGGAUGAGGGAUUAACUUUAUUUACAUUAAAUAUUGAAUUUAAUUUUUUAGUUAAAAAGCUUAAAUUAAUAAAGGGGACGAGAAGACCCUAUAGAAUUUAAUUAUUCUUAACUUAUAUUUUUUUUGGCUAUAUAUAAUUUAUAUGUUAAUAAUAAUUUAGUUGGGGUGACAGUGAGAUUUUUAUAACUCUCAUAAAAUACUUUUUUAUUUAUUAGUAUAUUUAAGAUCCUUUUAUUAAGGAUAAUUAGGUUAAAUUACCUUAGGGAUAACAGCGUAAUUAUUCUGGAGAGUUCAUAUCGAUAGAAUAGAUUGCGACCUCGAUGUUGGAUUAAAAUUAGAUUUAAGUGCAGAAGCUUAAUUUCUAGGUCUGUUCGACCUUUAAAAUUUUACAUGAUCUGAGUUCAGACCGGCGUGAGCCAGGUCGGUUUCUAUCUUUUUAUAAUAUAUGUAAAUUAGUACGAAAGGACCAUUUACUUCAAAUAUUUUGUUUUAUAUGAAUAUCUUU